AACGCACCUUGCACCUCUCAGUAUUCUGAAAGGUACACCUGUUUGAGUAUCAUUAAUACCAUCCACUAUACUCUCUUUCUCUCUCUCCCUCUCUUGGGGGGAAGGGGGGGAAGUUAGUAAAGCUGGGAGCUUGGGGGUAUUUGAACUUGGCAAUGUAUUGUCAUGUUCUCCCCUUAAAUAUAUUAGUGAGAAUGAAAUGAAAGGGAAAACAGUUGAUGUGAUAGUUAUACAAAGUCUACUCAACACUAUGUUUGUACCUUUUGGAUCUUGCUUUCUAACUUGUUGUUAAAACACAACACUUUAAAAUUAUACCUUGAUCUCAAAUCAGGUGGGAUUACCCGCUGAACUUAA
rnacentral:sRNA from 1 species